GCCUUCAUGUCUGCGUGCGGCGGCUGCCGCUGCUUUAAUAUGUUAGAGGCCCUAAAAAUCACAAACUAUGCUCAACUCACUCUCUACAUUUCUCAUAACUUCCAAAAUCUAUUUUCUUCCUCAUACUUGACACAUAUACUUUCUGCUCCCCGGCUCCUUCAGCUGUACUCACUCUUUAAGUCCCACAAUUACCACUGUUCCUGGCCCGGACUUCAAUCUGGCCUCUCACAUUAUUCCUGAUACCACACCUGACCCCCAUGACUGUAUCUCUCUGAUCCACCUGAUAUUCACCCUAUUUCCCCAUAUUUCCUUCUUUCCUGUUCCUCACCCUGAUCAUGCUUGAUUUAUUGAUGGCAGUUCCACCAGGCCUAAUCGCCACACACCAGCAAAGGUAGGCUAUGCUAUAGUACAAGCCACUAGCCGGCCUCUGA
rnacentral:sRNA from 1 species